rnacentral:rRNA from 1 species
CCUACGGGAGGCAGCAGUGGGGAAUAUUGGGCAAUGGAGGAAACUCUGACCCAGCGACGCCGCGUGCGGGAUGAAGGCCUUCGGGUUGUAAACCGCUUUCAGCAGGGAAGAAGCGAAAGUGACGGUACCUGCAGAAGAAGCACCGGCUAACUAUGUGCCAGCAGCCGCGGUAAUACAUAGGGUGCAAGCGUUGUCCGGAAUUAUUGGGCGUAAAGAGCUCGUAGGUGGUUCGUCACGUCGGAUGUGAAAAUCUGGGGCUUAACCCCAGACCUGCAUUCGAUACGGGCGAGCUUGAGUAUGGUAGGGGAGUCUGGAAUUCCUGGUGUAGCGGUGGAAUGCGCAGAUAUCAGGAGGAACACCAAUGGCGAAGGCAGGACUCUGGGCCAUUACUGACACUGAGGAGCGAAAGCGUGGGGAGCGAACAGGAUUAGGAUACCCUGGUAGUCCACGCCGUAAACGGUGGGCACUAGUUGUGGGGACCUUCCACGGUCUCUGCGACGCNGCUACGCAUAGUGCCCGCCGUGGGAGGUACGAGCGCGAGAGUAAACUACAAGUUAGUUAGUAGAGUUGAGAGNGCGACGACGACGACGACGGAGGAGGAG